UUCCAGACAUCGAUCUCUGCACCUCCUGCUACGUUUCUUCCUUCCUAACCUCCCUCCCGAUCGAUCAAACGAACAAGAAGGGAUCGUUGAAGUCCCGAGAACUUAUGGGCCAUGGCCACAAGAUGUUACAUUUUUCCAGCUGAGCCGGCUUUUAAGGCUUCCUAAUCCAGUUUGGCAUCGCACGAAACCAGAAAUGGUUCGAGGAAGGAGCGAGGAGACAAAAAGAACGAAUUAGGAAGGAGAAUAUAUAGCACGUGCAGCUUGCAGUGCCCCUGAAACAGCUAGCAAGGUGUACUGUAAAGUAGUUGAGCUGGUUUAAUCAUGGUUGUAAGAGCUUUGGUUGUGUGCUACCAACUUACCAUUAGCACCGGCUAUUGUUGUGUUCCAGUUUCUGCUUCUGCAAGUUAACUUUCAUAUCUUCUACAAA